AAUGAACGCUGGCGGCAGGCCUAACACAUGCAAGUCGAACGGAUCCUUCGGGAUUAGUGGCGGACGGGUGAGUAACGCGUGGGAACAUACCCAAAGGUACGGAAUAGCCUCGGGAAACUGGGAGUAAUAACGUAUGUGCUCGAAAGAGGAAAGAUUUAUCGCCUUUGGAUUGGCCCGCGUGGGAUUAGGUAGUUGGUGGGGUAAUGGCCUACCAAGCCGACGGUCCAUAGCUGGUUUGAGAGGAUGAUCAGCCACACUGGGACUGAGACACGGCGCAGACGCCUACGGGAGGCAGCAGUGGGGAAUCUUAGACAAGGGGGGAAACCCUGAUCUAUCCAUGCCGCGUGAUCGAUGAAGGCCUUAGGGUCGUAAAGAUCUUUCAGGUGGGAAGAUAAUGACUGUACCACCAGAAGAAGCCCCGGCUAACUCCGUGCCAGCCGCCGCCGUAA
rnacentral:rRNA from 1 species